rnacentral:rRNA from 1 species
CGAUUCUGGCUCAGGAUGAACGCUGGCGGCGUGCCUAACACAUGCAAGUCGAACGGACUUUAGAUGGAAUGAGACUUCGGUUGAAGGAAAUUAAAGUUAGUGGCGGACGGGUGAGUAACGCGUGGAGAACCUGCCCUGUACAGGGGGAUAACAACCAGAAACGGCUGCUAAAACCGCAUAAGCGCACAGUACCGCAUGGUACAGUGUAGAAAAACUCCGGUGGUACAGGAUGGCUCCGCGUUGGAUUAGCCAGUUGGCGGGGUAACGGCCCACCAAAGCGACGAUCCAUAGCCGGCCUGAGAGGGUGGACGGCCACAGUUGGGACUGAGACACGGCCCAGACUCCGUACGGGAGGCAGCAGGUGGGAAUAUUGCACAAUGGGGAAACCCUGAUGCAGCGACGCCGCGUGAAGGAAGAAGUAUCUCGGUAUGUAAACUUCUAUCAGCAGGGAAGAAAAUGACGGUACCUGACUAAGAAGCCCCGGCUAACUACGUGCCAGCAGCAGC